CUCUCCUGGUGGUUUUCUCAAGGAUGGGCCACCUGAACCAGAAUCACCAGCAAUGCAUGCAUGCCUCUCUCACUCCUACUCCAGACGUGCUAAAUCGGAAGCCUGGGGGCUGGGGGGAGGCACUGAGGAAUUACAGCUGCUAACAAAAUCUACACAUGUCUUAGGCACCCUGAUGUUGCGGAAUACUGUGGGCAUCCCAGGAGGGAAUGCUGGAGUGUCCUUUCUGAAAACAAGGCCUCAUCAGUAAUGAUGUUUCUUCACUGUGAUUUCUUCGCCAGGAAAUAUUUUGAUCCCUGUCUCAAAAUUCAAGAGAGGGAGGGUGGUGGCCCCAGGGACGGGGCACUGGAGGAAAGGGGCAGACACUCUGAAGUAGCUCCUCCAAACUUCAGGGAAAGGGAGUGACUGCCAAACAUGUCUCAUGCCACAGGAACCUACCUCGGCGGGCUGGUCGGCUGGCUGGGGGAUCAGGAGCUGGUUGUGAUGCUGCAGCACAGUCUUCAAAUAAUCCAGAACGGUCUGGCAGGGCAC